UCUAUGAGUAUGGGUCUCUGUGAGUCUCUGUGGGUCUCUGGAUCUCUGGGGGUCGCGAUGAUUAUGGGUCUGGAGACUCGGUGAGGCCGCGAUGGGUUAACGAGUUUGGGUGGUGGUAGUCGUAGCCGUCGUAGUGACAGUAACAAUACACGUACAUUUACCCCUGUGUGUUGCAGAUAAGGAGAGUGACAUCACAAAGACAUCCACAGAUGCCAUGCCCAAGAACGAGACAUCGUCGUCGUCGUCAGCCGAGAAGACAGACGACAAGAGCCAGAACAAGAAACCAACGUCAGCCGACGACACGGACGACAAGAGCCAGAACAAGACAUCGUCAUCGUCAGCUAAGAAGACAGAUGAAAAGAGCC